AUACGGAGGGGGCUAGCGUUGUUCGGAAUUACUGGGCGUAAAGCGCGUGUAGGCGGUUAUUUAAGUCAGGGGUGAAAGCCCGGAGCCCAACUCCGGAACUGCCCUUGAUACUGGCGAUCUCGAGUCCGGGAGAGGUGAGCGGAAUUCCUAGUGUAGAGGUGAAAUUCGUAGAUAUUAGGAGGAACACCAGUGGCGAAGGCGGCUCACUGGCCCGGUACUGACGCUGAGGUGCGAAAGCGUGGGGAGCAAACAGGAUUAGAAACCCUUGUAGUCC
rnacentral:rRNA from 1 species